UCACUUAUUCCUUCUACUUUGGACACAACAGCUUUGAACCUUGUCAUGUAAUCUCGAAGCGGUUCGUUAGGUCCUUGAGAUAACGUCCAUAGAUCGGCGUCGGAGGUGCCUCGAUCCAUGAACAUCGAGUACUGCUUCAAGAACAAGGCGGAGAGCUGCUGGAAGCUGUUGAUCGAAUUACGUUCUUGCCUUGAGAACCAUUCUAGUGCGGCCCCUUUGAGAUGCUCUACAAACAGUAGACAAUAAGCGGCGUCUUUUUCUUGCUUAGUCAGGUUGGCAGAGUUCCUCGUGAAGGCUCGUCCCAUUGCUAUGCGGAACGCCAUGAUAUGAGCUUUUGGGUCAGUGGUUCCUUCAUAGAAAGGGAUCCUGACUUUUCCGGGCUCGGGGAUCCUAGCCUCUGUGAUCCUCGUCG
rnacentral:lncRNA from 1 species